GAGAGAGAGAGAGAGAGAGAUAAAAGAGAGAGAGAGAAGGAGAAAGGAGCGAGAGAGUAGUCUAGUCUCUAGUGUUUCUGUGGGCCCAUUAAUGUGUGGUAACUGCUUGUUAUGUUGUUACUGUGGAAAAUCCUGGUUGCCCUCAGAAGGCUAGGGUCGAGAGGCUGUGAAUGCCUGCCACUUAACUAGAGUUAAAAAUAGGACUGUUGUACAGCUGCUAAUACGAUAAGGGAAAUGGGAAAGGCCUCACAGUACCAGAACGAACUUUGACAACAAUAGUUGCGAGCAAAAAUGUUAGAUAUUGCUGCUGCAUUUCUGACAUUUUGUGAUGAGUUUUGCCCAAUUUAUCACAAAUGCGCUGACGGGGAAAACAUUUGUUGACAUGUGGCUUUAUUGAACUACUUUACGCGGUAAAAGUAUAGUGAUUGGUUUUAAUUGUGAGCCKUCUUUUUGUAGUGUGAUGAUCGGACAGUUUUAUGCAGUAAUAAUGGGUGAUUUGACUGUUAUAUGCUGUAAUAGUGCGGUGAAUGAUAAAAUUUGCAAGCCCUUGCAUAAUAUGUAGGGGAUUGUUGAUUUUGCAAACAAUGCAGAAUCACAAAAUCCUGGAAGGACUGGACAAUAUUAGGCUACGGAAUGUGGAAAUUCCACAGAGYAAGUUUGUCUUUGUCCCUGAUGAAGAGACUAGCUGAUCUGAAGACUACUGAGGACACAUAAACUAUACGUUCAGAUUGAACUGGACUUUCCUCAGAGAAGAUACUGGAAAUGAACACUGUAAUAACACCUUUAGUAUUGGAGAAAAAAAAUUCUGAAAUUCAUAUAUUUUUUAAAUGUAUUUAUGCUGUAUGAUUUUGCAGAAAGGCAUUUGGUUGUCUACAUUUUUUGUGAUGAUAAAUGUAUAAAUUGCUGUCUAAAUUGUUUACUGAGGUAAACUUUUUUUGUAUAAUUGUAAAUAUUGUAUUUGGUGUGUGAGGAAUAUACUAUAUGAAUUGAACAUGAAGAUAAAAGUAACAACACAA